UUGGUUUUCAUGGAAAGAAGCUCGUUGAGUUUUGUACUGCACAGAUGGAGUAUAUGAUCACCAUAUACCAUAAAAAUUAUGAAGCAUCCACAAGACAGAGGUCAAUACAAGUGGAUGU